GGGCAUGUGGUGUAGUUGGUUAUCACGCUCGCUUAGCAUUUCUAUAGCUUGCGAGAGGGGUCCGGUUCAAUCCCGGACAUGUCCA